rnacentral:rRNA from 1 species
GGGCCCGCACAAGCGGUGGAGCAUGUGGUUUAAUUCGAUGAUACGCGAGGAACCUUACCAGGGCUUAAAUGUAGUCUGACAGGGGUGGAAACACCCCUCCUUCGGGCAGAUUACAAGGUGCUGCAUGGUUGUCGUCAGCUCGUGCCGUGAGGUGUCAGGUUAAGUCCUAUAACGAGCGCAACCCCUGCCGUUAGUUGCCAGCAUGUAAUGAUGGGAACUCUAACGAAACUGCCAGUGCAAACUGUGAGGAAGGUGGGGAUGACGUCAAAUCAUCACGGCCCUUACGACCAGGGCUACACACGUGCUACAAUGGGGCGUACAGAGGGUUGCGAAGCCGCGAGGUGGAGCC